CAGUGCAAUGUAAAAAGGGCA
rnacentral:miRNA from 1 species